GAUGAAGAACGCAGCAAAAUGCGAUAAGUAAUGUGAAUUGCAGAAUUCAGUGAAUCAUCGAAUCUUUGAACGCACAUUGCGCCCGCCAGUAUUCUGGCGGGCAUGCCUGUUCGAGCGUCAUUUCAACCCUCAAGCCCUCGGGUUUGGUGUUGGGGAUCGGCGAGCCUUUCUGGCAAGCCGGCCCCGAAAUCUAGUGGCGGUCUCGCUGCAGCCUCCAUUGCGUAGUAGUAAAACCCUCGCAACUGGAACGCGGCGCGGCCAAGCCGUUAAACCCCCAACUUCUGAAUGUUGACCUCGGAUCAGGUAGGAAUGCCCGCUGAACUUAAGCAUAUCAAUAAGCGGAGGA
rnacentral:misc_RNA from 1 species